rnacentral:rRNA from 1 species
ANNNANCNAGGNGGGNGGGNNUUNACNUGACAAGUCGAACGGGAAAUACAUAGCUUGCUAAGUAUUUUUAGUGGCGCACGGGUGAGUAACACGUGAGUAACCUGCCCAUGAGUGGGGGAUAGCCCUGGGAAACCGGGAUUAAUACCGCAUAAUAUCGAAAGAUCAAAGGAUUUAUUCGCUUAUGGAGGGGCUCGCGUCCUAUUAGUUAGUUGGUGAGGUAAUGGCUCACCAAGGCGAUGACGGGUAGCCGGUCUGAGAGGAUGUCCGGCCACACUGGAACUGAGACACGGUCCAGACACCUACGGGUGGCAGCAGUCGAGAAUCAUUCACAAUGGGGGCAACCCUGAUGGUGCGACGCCGCGUGGGGGAAGAAGGUCUUCGGAUUGUAAACCCCUGUCAUGUGGGAGCAAGCUGUAAAGUUGAUAGUACCACAAGAGGAAGAGACGGCUAACUCUGUGCCAGCAGCCGCGGUAAUACAGAGGUCUCGAGCGUUGUUCGGAAUCACUGGGCGUAAAGAGUACGUAGGCUGUAGAGUAAGUCAGAAGUGAAAGGCAGGGGCUCAACCCCUGGACUGCUUUUGAUACUGCACUACUUGAGUAAUGGAGGGGGAACCGGAAUUCUCGGUGUAGCAGUGAAAUGCGUAGAUAUCGAGAGGAAGACUCGUGGCGAAGGCGGGUUCCUGGACAUUAACUGACGCUGAGGUACGAAGGCCAGGGUAGCGAAAGGGAUUAGAUACCCCUGUAGUCCUGGCAGUAAACGGUGCACGCUUGGUGUGUGAGGGUUUCGACCCCUUACGUGCCGGAGCAAACGCGUUAAGCGUGCCGCCUGGGGAGUACGGUCGCAAGAUUAAAACUCAAAGAAAUUGACGGGGACCCGCACAAGCGGUGGAGUAUGUGGCUUAAUUCGAUGCAACGCGAAAAACCUUACCUAGGCUUGACAUGUUAUGAACA